rnacentral:rRNA from 1 species
GAUGAACGCUGGCGGCGUGCUUAACACAUGCAAGUCGAACGAUGAAGCCCAGCUUGCUGGGUGGAUUAGUGGCGAACGGGUGAGUAACACGUGAGUAACCUGCCCUUGACUCUGGGAUAAGCCUGGGAAACUGGGUCUAAUACUGGAUAUGACUUCUCAUCGCAUGGUGGGGGGUGGAAAGAUUUAUUGGUCUUGGAUGGACUCGCGGCCUAUCAGCUUGUUGGUGAGGUAAUGGCUCACCAAGGCGACGACGGGUAGCCGGCCUAAGAGGGUGACCGGCCACACUGGGACUGAGACACGGCCCAGACUCCUACGGGAGGCAGCAGUGGGGAAUAUUGCACAAUGGGCGCAAGCCUGAUGCAGCGACGCCGCGUGAGGGAUGACGGCCUUCGGGUUGUAAACCUCUUUCAGUAGGGAAGAAGCGAGAGUGACGGUACCUGCAGAAGAAGCGCCGGCUAACUACGUG